AUGUGCAAUCAGGCCAGCACUAAUGCACCGGAUCCCAUCAGAGUUCCAUAGUUAAGCAUGCUUGGGCGAGAGUAGUACUAGGAUGGGUGACCUCCUCGGAAGUCCUCGUGUUGCACCUC
rfam:Vigna angularis cultivar Jingnong 6 scaffold618_3, whole genome shotgun sequence.